rnacentral:rRNA from 1 species
UACGGUAGGGUGCGAGCGUUAAUCGGAAUUACUGGGCGUAAAGUGUGCGCAGGUGGCCGCGCAAGUCGAGUGUGAAAUCCCCGAGCUUAACUUGGGAAUUGCGCUCGAAACUACGUGGCUCGAGUGUGGCAGAGGAAGGUGGAAUUCCACGUGUAGCGGUGAAAUGCGUAGAGAUGUGGAGGAACACCGAUGGCGAAGGCAGCCUUCUGGGCCAACACUGACGCUCAUGCACGAAAGCGUGGGGAGCAAACAGG